rnacentral:rRNA from 1 species
UACGAAGGGGGCUAGCGUUGUUCGGAAUUACUGGGCGUAAAGCGCGCGCAGGCGGCCUUGCAAGUCAGUGGUGAAAUCCCAGAGCUUAACUCCGGAAUUGCCAUUGAGACUGCGAGGCUUCGAGUACGGGAGAGGUGAGUGGAAUUCCCAGUGUAGAGGUGAAAUUCGUAGAUAUCGGGAGGAACACCUGUGGCGAAAGCGGCGCACUGGACCAUAACUGACGCUGAGGCGCGAAAGCUAGGGGAGCAAACAGG